UGUUUUUUAGUGAGUUGGCUGGUGGCUGGUUGGUUUGUGGCUGCAAAGUGGGUCCGAUUUGGCUAUUCUCUUUUAUAUGGAAUGCCGUUUCUUAAAUCGAGAUUGGACACUUAAUCUAGAUUUAACACUUUGGUGCAUUUCACCCUUAGUCAACAGAACUGUCGUCAAAUAUGUAUGGAAUUUCGAAUGUCAAAAAACCAAUAAUAUAAUGGACCGAGUAUAAGUAGAUUAUAAAAUGGUCUGACAUGAUGCACAAAGCCAACUAAAUAAAGAUAAUGCAAGGAAGAAGAAGAAGUAGAUUAUUAAUUACUUCAAAUAAGUAUAUAUCUACUAUCUAGCAUUUGUUAUGAUGCUGGCAGCAGAAUCAUCCUGUACAAAGAGAUGUACCUAAUAAGGGAAAACAGUGAAAACCUUAAAAUUGAGAAGAAUUGCUUUCAGAUAUUUCAACAGAUAUUUAGGUCAAUAGCAAAUAUAAUAAAGUUACCUAGUUCGUUUAAAUUUAGUGGCAUUUUUUUUUGUGAAAUUCAUUCAUAAUGUACCUACUUACCUAGUAUUUUUUAUCAGAUCCCUACUUAUAUAGUGCAUUUUAAAACAUGUGCAACGUCACCACAUCAACUGAGCCUUCAGCCACCGACCACACUGCAUUCUGUCGCAUAUUCACUCUUGUGUGUACGCAGCAUACAUGUCACUUAGCAAACAAAUGGAGGAAAAAGCUAACCUCAACACUAGAAGUAAAUAAUUAUGAAGGUUUUAUAAAACUAUUCUUACCCAAUGGAAAGCGAAAGUUUUUUCAUAAGGCUAUCGGUGAAAUUAGCAUUUAUAAGCUUUGAGGGUGCUAAUAGUUAAGAAUAUUUUUAGGUUUUUGACCAAAACAUAUCCAAAUACCAAUGACGAAGGGCAAAGUCGUCAAUG